AAGCGCUUGUGACCAGACUUGCGCCCGGUUGAUCAUCCAGCGUUCUCGCUGGUGCACUCUGCCGGGCUCAGGCCAGCAUCGGCUCUCCCAGGGGGAUAAAGGUCGCGGGAACGUAGCUCUCUCCGGGGAGUGUUAUAGCCCGUGGCGGAAUGCCCUUAGGGGGGGCCGAGGCCCGCGUUCGCAAGGAUGCUGGCGUAAUGGUCACCAGCGA
rnacentral:rRNA from 1 species